GGAUAUCGGGACGAAAGACCGCGCGAGGACGACGGAUGCGAGUCCCAUCGAAUUUUUGAUUUACACACUACCUGAACGAGACUUAAAUUUAUCAUCGCAUAACCCGUUCGGAGGGGACCGGCUGUCUAUCCUCGUUGUCGUGAGUCGGACACCCGUGCCGUCGCUAGAGUUUUUCAAACUCUGCUUCUGGAUAUCGGGACGAAAGACCGCGCGAGGACGAUGGCUGCGAGUCCCAUCGAAUUUUUGUUUUUUUUUUUUUUUUUUAAAGAAAAAACACCACCCGAACGGAGAUGUGUUCUAUCUUUCGUCGAUUUUUCAUGCUUUCAGUCGGUCGCGUGGUCGCCAUCCGUUCGGAGGGGAUCGCCGGCUUCGAAACCUCGAUGUCGUGAGUCGGACACCCGUGCCGUCGCUAGAGUUUUUCAAACUCUGCUUCUGGAUAUUGGGACGAAAGACCGCUCGAGGCGGACGGCCGCGCGAAUCCCAUCGAAUCUUUACUAUCACCCGAACGAUGGAGAGAUGCACGCGCGCUGUUUCUUGAAUAAUUGGACGAGAGAGUAGAAUCAAACACAUAUAUAACAUGGGCUAGCCACCGUGCUUACUCGUUCGCGAGAUCGUGUGCUGUACAGAGGAUUCAGAAUCGGGUGUAUAUAUCCCCGUCGUUUCCUGACGAACGGAGCUUCGAUCUCGAUGGUUGUUAUAUAUCAUAAUGUACUUUACGCCCGGCCGGCGAACGCGCGUAUCUUCGCGCGUUCGUCGUUUUCUUUUUUUUUUCGAACGUUUUUGUGUCGUCAAUCCUAUGGCGACUUCUGCGCGUUCGAUUCCCGUUGGUCGAACGUGACGGAACUC